rnacentral:tRNA from 1 species
CAAGAAAUAGUUUAAAUAAAAUAUUAGUUUUGGGGAUUAAUGAUAAAGAAAUUUCUUUUUUCUUGA